rnacentral:rRNA from 1 species
UACGUAGGUGGCGAGCGUUGUCCGGAAUUACUGGGUGUAAAGGGCGUGUAGGCGGGAGGACAAGUCAGAUGUGAAAUUCCACGGCUCAACUGUGGGACUGCAUCUGAAACUGUUUUUCUUGAGUACUGGAGAGGAAAGUGGAAUUCCUAGUGUAGCGGUAAAAUGCGUAGAUAUUAGGAGGAACACCAGUGGCGAAGGCGACUUUCUGGACAGUAACUGACGCUGAGGCGCGAAAGCGUGGGGAGCAAACAGGAUUAGAUACCCUGGUAGU